UUAAGCGACUAAGCGUACACGGUGGAUGCCCUGGCAGUCAGAGGCGAUGAAGGACGUGCUAAUCUGCGAUAAGCGCCGGUAAGGUGAUAUGAACCGUUAUAACCGGCGAUUUCCGAAUGGGGAAACCCAGUGUGACUCGUCACACUAUCAUUAACUGAAUCCAUAGGUUAAUGAGGCGAACCGGGGGAACUGAAACAUCUAAGUACCCCGAGGAAAAGAAAUCAACCGAGAUUCCCCCAGUAGCGGCGAGCGAACGGGGAGGAGCCCAGAGCCUGAAUCAGCAUGUGUGUUAGUGGAAGCGUCUGGAAAGGCGCGCGAUACAGGGUGACAGCCCCGUACACAAAAGCGCAUAUGCUGUGAGCUCGAUGAGUAGGGCGGGACACGUGGUAUCCUGUCUGAAUAUGGGGGGACCAUCCUCCAAGGCUAAAUACUCCUGACUGACCGAUAGUGAACCAGUACCGUGAGGGAAAGGCGAAAAGAACCCCGGCGAGGGGAGUGAAAAAGAACCUGAAACCGUGUACGUACAAGCAGUGGGAGCACCCUUUUGGGUGUGACUGCGUACCUUUUGUAUAAUGGGUCAGCGACUUAUAUUCUGUAGCAAGGUUAACCGAAUAGGGGAGCCGGAGGGAAACCGAGUCUUAAUUGGGCGUUAAGUUGCAGGGUAUAGACCCGAAACCCGGUGAUCUAGCCAUGGGCAGGUUGAAGGUUGGGUAACACUAACUGGAGGACCGAACCGACUAAUGUUGAAAAAUUAGCGGAUGACCUGUGGCUGGGGGUGAAAGGCCAAUCAAACCGGGAGAUAGCUGGUUCUCCCCGAAAGCUAUUUAGGUAGCGCCUCGUGAAUUCAUCUCCGGGGGUAGAGCACUGUUUCGGCUAGGGGGCCAUCCCGGCUUACCAACCCGAUGCAAACUGCGAAUACCGGAGAAUGUUAUCACGGGAGACACACGGCGGGUGCUAACGUCCGUCGUGAAGAGGGAAACAACCCAGACCGCCAGCUAAGGUCCCAAAGUCAUGGUUAAGUGGGAAACGAUGUGGGAAGGCCCAGACAGCCAGGAUGUUGGCUUAGAAGCAGCCAUCAUUUAAAGAAAGCGUAAUAGCUCACUGGUCGAGUCGGCCUGCGCGGAAGAUGUAACGGGGCUAAACCAUGCACCGAAGCUGCGGCAGCGACGCUGAUGCGUUGUUGGGUAGGGGAGCGUUCUGUAAGCCUGUGAAGGUGUGUCGUGAGGCAUGCUGGAGGUAUCAGAAGUGCGAAUGCUGACAUAAGUAACGAUAAAGCGGGUGAAAAGCCCGCUCGCCGGAAGACCAAGGGUUCCUGUCCAACGUUAAUCGGGGCAGGGUGAGUCGACCCCUAAGGCGAGGCCGAAAGGCGUAGUCGAUGGGAAACGGGUUAAUAUUCCCGUACUUGGUGUUACUGCGAAGGGGGGACGGAGAAGGCUAUGUUGGCCGGGCGACGGUUGUCCCGGUUUAAGCGUGUAGGUGUGUGUUCCAGGUAAAUCCGGUUCACUUUAACACUGAGGCGUGAUGACGAGGCACUACGGUGCUGAAGCAACAAAUGCCCUGCUUCCAGGAAAAGCCUCUAAGCAUCAGGUAACAUCAAAUCGUACCCCAAACCGACACAGGUGGUCAGGUAGAGAAUACCAAGGCGCUUGAGAGAACUCGGGUGAAGGAACUAGGCAAAAUGGUGCCGUAACUUCGGGAGAAGGCACGCUGACAUGUAGGUGAAGUGAUUUACUCAUGGAGCUGAAGUCAGUCGAAGAUACCAGCUGGCUGCAACUGUUUAUUAAAAACACAGCACUGUGCAAACACGAAAGUGGACGUAUACGGUGUGACGCCUGCCCGGUGCCGGAAGGUUAAUUGAUGGGGUCAGCGCAAGCGAAGCUCCUGAUCGAAGCCCCGGUAAACGGCGGCCGUAACUAUAACGGUCCUAAGGUAGCGAAAUUCCUUGUCGGGUAAGUUCCGACCUGCACGAAUGGCGUAAUGAUGGCCAGGCUGUCUCCACCCGAGACUCAGUGAAAUUGAACUCGCUGUGAAGAUGCAGUGUACCCGCGGCAAGACGGAAAGACCCCGUGAACCUUUACUAUAGCUUGACACUGAACAUUGAGCCUUGAUGUGUAGGAUAGGUGGGAGGCUUUGAAGUGUGGACGCCAGUCUGCAUGGAGCCGACCUUGAAAUACCACCCUUUAAUGUUUGAUGUUCUAACGUGGACCCGUAAUCCGGGUUGCGGACAGUGUCUGGUGGGUAGUUUGACUGGGGCGGUCUCCUCCUAAAGAGUAACGGAGGAGCACGAAGGUUGGCUAAUCCUGGUCGGACAUCAGGAGGUUAGUGCAAUGGCAUAAGCCAGCUUGACUGCGAGCGUGACGGCGCGAGCAGGUGCGAAAGCAGGUCAUAGUGAUCCGGUGGUUCUGAAUGGAAGGGCCAUCGCUCAACGGAUAAAAGGUACUCCGGGGAUAACAGGCUGAUACCGCCCAAGAGUUCAUAUCGACGGCGGUGUUUGGCACCUCGAUGUCGGCUCAUCACAUCCUGGGGCUGAAGUAGGUCCCAAGGGUAUGGCUGUUCGCCAUUUAAAGUGGUACGCGAGCUGGGUUUAGAACGUCGUGAGACAGUUCGGUCCCUAUCUGCCGUGGGCGCUGGAGAACUGAGGGGGGCUGCUCCUAGUACGAGAGGACCGGAGUGGACGCAUCACUGGUGUUCGGGUUGUCAUGCCAAUGGCACUGCCCGGUAGCUAAAUGCGGAAGAGAUAAGUGCUGAAAGCAUCUAAGCACGAAACUUGCCCCGAGAUGAGUUCUCCCUGAGACUUUAAGUCUCCUGAAGGAACGUUGAAGACGACGACGUUGAUAGGCCGGGUGUGUAAGCGCAGCGAUGCGUUGAGCUAACCGGUACUAAUGAACCGUGAGGCUUAACCUU
rnacentral:rRNA from 1 species